CACAGUGUAGCAAUACAUGGGUGGCGACCGGCAAACGGGUGCGGAACACGUACGCAACCUUCCUUCAGGCGGGGAAUAGCCCAGAGAAAUUUGGAUUAAUACCCCAUAAUAUUUUGAGAUGGCAUCAUCUUAUUAUUAAAGCUACGGCACCUGGAGAUGGGCGUGCGGCUGAUUAGGUAGUUGGCGGGGUAAUGGCCCACCAAGCCUACGAUCAGUAGCUGAUGUGAGAGCAUGAUCAGCCACACGGGCACUGAGACACGGGCCCGACUCCUACGGGAGGCAGCAGUAAGGAAUAUUGGUCAAUGGACGCAAGUCUGAACCAGCCAUGCCGCGUGGAGGAUGAAGGUCCUCUGGAUUGUAAACUUCUUUUAUCUGGGACGAAAAAAGGGUUUUCUAACCCGUCUGACGGUACCAGAUGAAUAAGCACCGGCUAACUCCGUGCCAGCAGCCGCGGUAAUACGGAGGGUGCAAGCGUUAUCCGGAUUCACUGGGUUUAAAGGGUGCGUAGGCGGGCAUUUAAGUCAGUGGUGAAAUACCUGAGCUUAACUUGGGAACUGCCAUUGAUACUAUUUGUCUUGAAUGUCGUGGAGGUUAGCGGAAUAUGUCAUGUAGCGGUGAAAUGCUUAGAUAUGACAUAGAACACCUAUUGCGAAGGCAGCUAACUACGCGAAUAUUGACGCUGAGGCACGAAAGCGUGGGGAUCAAACAGGAUUAGAUACCCUGGUAGUCCACGCCCUAAACGAUGAUUACUCGACAUUAGCGAUACACUGUUAGUGUCUGAGCG
rnacentral:rRNA from 1 species